CAAAACCCAAAAAGGAACCAGCAGAUUUUACACCUUGAGGCUUUCUCCCUGGGCUUUGGUAUGAGCAAUGAAGACAGAGUGCUGAAAACAGGAGGGGGGUGUGUUUGUCCAGUGAGUGAGAAGGCACAAUUGCCACUGACACUCCAUAUGCCACCACUAGCCCGAGCCACUGAGCAGGGACUGUCUCUGCAGUCACUGUCUCUAGUGACUACAUUACUUUUUAUAAAGCUUACCCUUAUGUUUGCAGUACUUCCAGACAUAGAACACACAGAUCUCAUCACAGUUAACUUCUUUGUUGUCCUUUGAAGCUUCAGCAGAGGAAUUGUCCUUUUUAUCUAUGGGAAAGAACACAUCAGUCCUUAUUUGCUUCAAGAGAAAGACCCUGCUUGGUACUUCAUCCCGGAAAUAACAAAGAUUUGACUGCAGUAGCCAAGUUAAGCACUUUGAGGAUCUGACUAUCCCCCAUACAGCCCACCACACGAGUCAGGGCUUUGUGACUGACCAAUAAACCCUGACACUGGAAGAAGUCUCAGUGGAGAAGUGCAAGGGCAGUGUCAGGAAGAGUAACACAGGCUGUGGCUGACCAUGGUUCUUGCAAAGCAGCCAACUUUGUCUCCACACCACGGGAAGCAGAGGGUGGAUAAAUGGCUGUGUCAGCUCAGCGGAUCAAUGCAGGGUAGAAAUGUUUUUCCCUGAGUUGGCCAGACCAGCAUGGGGGGAGUUCAGGCCAACACAGAGGUACUAAACCUGAAGAACUAACAGAAGAAUUCUCAAGACAGCAACAGGCUUCAGCUGGCUUCAACCCUUCCCAAGGACUGGGGACACCCAGCUUUGUGACAAUGAGCGUAUUAUACAGACCUGUAAUGGGAGAGCCAUUAGCAUUGUGAUUGAACUGUGCAUUGCAACUGCUACAUUUUGGUACAGAAGGCAAGGAAAGAUAUCUGUCUCCUUCCCAGGAAGGAAGAAUUGUGUCCAGGACAGUACAGACAUCAGUCCCAGGCUACUCCUCGUGGUGGUGCUUGGGCAGAAAUGCCAGCGCUGCUCCGCUGUCCAGCACUGCGGCUCUCAGCGUACCGUAAGAUUUUUCUCACUCCCUUAGACCUUCAUGCACCAAAAUGUGCAGGCCUAGGAAGACUGGAAAAGGAAAUGGGACCUUGCUUCCUAGUCUCUAUCAUUUCUUGGAGAAGAAGCAACAAACUGGGAUUUUGGUCAUUAUACCUCUUAUCCUAGUCAUCCAGCAUGAGUGCCUACACGCACCUGAAGGCAUUUCUAACAGUGAAUCCCAGGGAAGCUCAUCGUUCUGUCAGUAAUGCAACAAACAGUAAGAAAAUCUUAUUAUCCUUGUGGUUUGCUAGUACACUCUGAGAGACACAGCCUUUCUCCUCCAAGCUCUUCAGAUCCGAGCACACAUCUGUUUUAUUGGAGGAAGGAUCCGGUGGGGUACCAGCAGUAGGUACCACCUUUGCCUGCCCCGCCCUUCCCCGGGAGUCCUCCGUAUUCCGGAAGCCGGGAUUGAUGUACAUGGGCGAUCAAGCAGGGCCUCUCACAGAAAAGUCUGUAAGCGAAGCGCCAGUUCCAAUGAAAACAUGCAUUUCUGCAUUAAUCCACUUAGAAAUCUGAACUACUGGUCUGAGGAGCUUUGCUGGAUACUUGGAACAGUAUCAUCAGCACAGAGCAGGAAAGUAAAGCAGAAGGAAGCUGCAAAUGCAGUUGUGGCAAGCAUGUUCUAUUCUCCACUUAAAUACAUUCAAGAAGGGUUUUGGUUCAGGCCUGAGUGAAAACAAAGAAACAUUGGUGGAUUUAUCCUGUUUGUUGGUAUGUUUUGCAAAUAUAAAUGCUCCAAUACUUGACUUCCUUACCUGCUUCAAACAGAACCAGUUUAUGUGAAACAACACAACUGGGUGAGGCAAAAGACAUCACUGCAUGGGACAGGAGUCCCAAAUCGGUGUCAUUUUCAUAGGGCAGUGAGUGAUUCCAGCCUUGAAUAUCAAGGCUUUGUUUAAGUUAGACACCAGUGGAAGAGUAGCUGGAUUGCUGUAACCUUUUGCUACUGUUUAAAAUGCACUCCCUGUACAUUUUUCUCUCUGAUGUCCUCUACUUGCAGCUGCAAUAUCUCCUUGUUUGCCCUGCCUCUGCUAUUCAGCUGACUCCGUAGUAAGUGAAAUCAGCUUUCAGAGACUUGAAACUGAAGUUUUGAUUCGUAUGAGCAAAGUGUGCAUGGAAAUAGGUGUGUUUGAGCACCAGAAGAAACAGCAGAACAAAGGUUAAAAGAAUGGCCUGUGUUGAUAAUCAAAAACACAGCAGUAAAGGCAGUAAAAUCGAGAAACACUUUCUGUCAAACCAGGCAAAUCUGCACACUGGAGCACAGACAACUUGUCAGCAGAAGAGCCUACCAUCUGACAGCUGGACAUGGCAGGAAGAUACAGCACAUCGCAAAUGCCAUUUAUUUCCUAUUGGUCCCACUGGAAGCAAACCAUAAAAUAAGGAAGCACAGAAAAUGGGCAAAUAAGUUCCAUAAGGUGCAUGGAGGUAGAAGUAACUAGACUGUGAAGCACAAGGAUGCCACCACAGUCAGUGCUGGGUCCCACUGGCUUUCGUACCUGAUAGUGGGCAGAAAAGACCCCUCCAAGGUGGCUUGCCACUGGCAGUGAAAAGUAACACAAGAGAUACCAAAAGGGUGGGAUGGUUGGUGCCCAUCUUCCCUUAUGCUGCUUGCAAUAUGGGUCCUGGAAAAACCUGUGGAGCACACACACGCCUCAGGAGCUGUGAGUAUAAGGUUUUGACAGCAUGAACCAAGUUGAAUAUUGAGUUGCUUGACCGCAUUCUGGGAUGAAGAGCCCUGCUCCACUGGCUCACGUGAUCUCUUGGGGUGCUCUCAGACCCUCUGUGGGCUCUGGGGCUCUGCAGGGCUCGGAUUGGGAGGGUGGGGUGGGAGCUGGAAAGUCCCAGAGCUGGAGCCAAGAUGAAGAUCCUGCAGUGAGAACCUGGAGCAGCUUCCCGUGGUGGCGCUGGCAAGAUGCAGAGCUACUGCUGAGAGAGCAGAGCUGGCAGUGCAAUAAAGCUUGUGGGUCUUGAGCUGAAAUCACUGAGGGGCUGGGGUAGGGAUGGUGGCUGGGAUAGGGAUGGUGGUCUUUGGAUAGGGACUGUAGGGCCUGAGCAAGCAGAAUUGCUGAUUUUUAAUGCACAGCCUCAGAAAUGGGAGGGUUUGGAGGUGCAGUGGUGCCUGCAGCUCCUUUGUGCCAAGGCACCAGCAAGCCUUGGUCCUACCCCUGAUUUCCCAGGCCAUGGCAGGGAAGGAAUGUUUUGAGGUAAAAAUGAGGGCCUGGAUUGUGAACAAGUAAGAACAGCCAUGAAGGUAGAACUUUGGGGGGAAUGUGCAACGAAAAAGGAGUAUUUUGGAGGGAAUCUUGAGGGGCAAAAUGAACCUUCUGGCAACAGGGAACAAUCAGAGCCCAUGAGGGUUUGUCAACUGGCUUCCUGUGGCGGUAAGAGAAGGGCUGUCGUGGGGGGAGCAGUUUGUCCCUGGAGAGCACAGUGCUGGGACACGGGUGAGACACAGCAAGCAGCUUUUUUCCUGCGUUGGAUCAGCAGGAG